rnacentral:tRNA from 1 species
GGCAGUGUGGCCUAGUGGAGAGAGCACUAGAAGACUCAAGAGACUUAGGUUCUAUUCCCAGCUUUGCCA